rnacentral:snoRNA from 1 species
CUGCGAUGAUGCCUUGAAUUUCUUCACCUGAAUGCACUGUGUGGAGUAAAAACGAGCUUUUUAACACUGAGCUUC